UACGUAGGGGGCGAGCGUUGUCCGGAUUUAUUGGGCGUAAAGCGCGCGCAGGCGGUCCUUUAAGUCUGAUGUGAAAGCCCACGGCUCAACCGUGGAGGGUCAUUGGAAACUGGGGGACUUGAGUACAGAAGAGAAGAGUGGAAUUCCACGUGUAGCGGUGAAAUGCGUAGAGAUGUGGAGGAACACCAGUGGCGAAGGCGACUCUUUGGUCUGUAACUGACGCUGAGGCGCGAAAGCGUGGGGAGCAAACAGG
rnacentral:rRNA from 1 species